UGAAUCAAAGCGUGCGCCAGGCGGAGGAGGCGGGCGCCGCCAAACUUGAUGCAUUGCAGCAGCGGCGGCGGUGGCGGCGUAACCGGGGGGAAGCCACGCAGGGUGGAAGGGGAAUAAAGAGAGUCUUUCUCACCCAUUGGAGAGUGCAUAAGUCUGCCAUGACUCCACAGUUCGGGCUGUGUGCUCCAGAGACCAUAGCCGGUAGAACAGCAUCAUGUUGAGGAUGACCAGAACUAAGAGACUACAGAGAAACACAAACACGUUGGUAACAUGAAGGACUCGUUCAGACCAAGGAGGCACUCAACUCUAGCUAGAAUGUGCCAGCCUUGCUGUCCUUGAGGCAACCCUGUCCAUUAAGCAGAAUUCCAGGCUCCACUAAAACCCCAUUCUGAUGGCAUCAUGGGUGUUCCAGGAUAAAGCCAGCCCUGUUCCCGGCUUCAGUGGACUGGAUUCUUUCUUGGCUUCCUAAGUACAGUAAGCUGUAACCCUAUGAAAGUUGUGACCUUGUGUAGAUUCUGGUGUGUAUACAUAUAAGUUUGCAAAUAGAAAACUCAUAUACAGAACUCUAGAAAAGCCUUCCCUGAGAAAGGGCCUCCAGAUGUGUUGGACUGUUAUCCAGAGCCAGCUCUGCUAUGGGCUGGCUGGACAAGUUGAAAGUUGCAGUCUGCCUCUACAGAACAUCAAGUUUGAAAAGGCUGGUCUAGAUCAGCCUCCCAGAUAAAUGGAGUUCAGUUCCACAGCCAAUUCAACCACUAUUGAGAACUUUGGGAAUUGAAGUGAAUGCACUUGCAGGAGAUCAGAAUGGGGGAAGUUCUCUAGAUGCUCUCCAAACACAGCCCCACCUCCCCCCAAAGCAGCU